CAUCCCCGGGCAGGCUGGAAGACUUGUGAUUUUGUUGUUUCCAAUGUCAACGGGAGCGAACAACAAAUCCCAGUCUCCUCCCUGCCCCGGGCAC
rnacentral:pre_miRNA from 1 species